GCCGAACAUCUCAUCCACAAUGGAGCCAAUGUUGAUACUGAAACUGAUAGGAAAUGGACACCUCUUCAUGCAGCUGCACUCAAUGGUCAAAAGAGUAUCGCCGAACUUCUCAUCCGUGCACGAGCCAAUGUUAAUAGUAAAACUGAUGUGAAAAACACACCUCUUCAUUUAGCUGCUGAGAAUGGUCAUAAGAGUGUCGCUGAAUUUCUCAUCCGUGCAGGAGCAAAUGUUGAUAGUGAAAAUUAUGUGAAAAAGACACCUCUUCAUUUAGCUGCUCAGAAUGGUCAUGAGAGUAUCGCUGAACUUCUCAUCCGUGAAGGAGCAAAAUAACUUGAUAAAAAUAAUUCGAAUCAGACUCCUUAUCACUUGGCUAUUAACAAUGGUCACAAAGAGAUCGCGAAACUUUUUGUCCAAAAUUUAGGUGAUUGGCUACUAGAAUAGAUUCAAUUGGCUAUUAACAAUGGUGACGAAUAGCUGAACCAAUUUUGCUGAAUAAUCGGAUGAUUUCCUCCGGUUCACCUUUUUGAUUGUAGUUUAGAAUUAAUUUCAAAACAUUUUUUUUGUCAAUCUAUGGCCAAUUGGCCAUACCAACCAAUAUUGUUGCUUUGUUGGACCAUCGAUUAUUAUUCUGUCAAAAAACAGCUCAAGUUAUUUGUCUUUUUAAUUGCUUACAUUGCAUUUUUGUGACCCUAACGUACAUCCGUGCUAAAUUUGAACGCGAUUUGUAUGAGUCUAAUGCCGUAGGCAAAGUCCAAGAAUGAAAAUAAAUUAUACAUAUAGUGUAUAAAUUUGGAUAAACUCAAUUGUUGGUCUUGUCAAACUGUACAACUUUGCAAAAGACAAUGAUCAUGGUUAAACUCAAUUUUUAUGUUUGCUUUUAAUUUCUUUGUUUUGAUUUUGUGAAAGUUAAUGUUAAGUUUAAGUUCAAUUAGAUGUUCAAAAUCAAUUAUAUUAUGUUCUCUAUAUAAGUCCUUUGUUCUAAUAACUCCCGAUCGAUAUUUUUUAUAGAAAAGGUUUCUUAUGCAUUUAUUUUGCAAAGUUUUAAUUUUAUGUUAUCAUUACCCGUACCACUCCAGAUAGUUAAAAGGUAUAUAAUGUGUGAGUGAAAGAAAGAGAAGUACAGUAAUUUCUUAACACGGUCAUUGCACAUGUAUGCGAUUCUUCUGAAUACACCAAUAUAGGGUUUGACUCUUUUUUAAACAUGAUCAACAUGCGAGUUCCAAGUCAGAUUUGCAUCAAUAAACAGCCCAAGAUAUUUCAUUUCAUUUACUUCUUCGACUUUUGAGUUGUUCAAGUAAAUAUCCCCCAAGUUAUUUGCUGCUGAUCUCAUUGAAUUGAAAAAUAAAAGUUUGGUUUUUCCACCAU